ACCUUGCUGGCUCAGUGGGUGGAGCAUGUGACUCUUGAUCUCGGGGUUGUGAGUUCGAGCCCCACACGAGGUU
rnacentral:tRNA from 1 species